rnacentral:tRNA from 1 species
UGGGAUGUAGCUCAGUGGCAGAGCUCUUGCCUAGCAGGCAUGCGUCCUGGGCUCACUGCCCAGAAUCACAC